rnacentral:rRNA from 1 species
GAUGAACGCUGGCGGCGUGCCUAAUACAUGCAAGUCGAGCGAACGGACGAGAAGCUUGCUUCUCUGAUGUUAGCGGCGGACGGGUGAGUAACACGUGGAUAACCUACCUAUAAGACUGGGAUAACUUCGGGAAACCGUAGCUAAUACCGGAUAAUAUUUUGAACCGCAUGGUUCAAAAGUGAAAGACGGUCUUGCUGUCACUUAUAGAUGGAUCCGCGCUGCAUUAGCUAGUUGGUAAGGUAACGGCUUACCAAGGCAACGAUGCAUAGCCGACCUGAGAGGGUGAUCGGCCACACUGGAACUGAGACACGGUCCAGACUCCUACGGGAGGCAGCAGUAGGGAAUCUUCCGCAAUGGGCGAAAGCUUGACGGAGCAACGCCGCGUGAGUGAUGAAGGUCUUCGGAUCGUAAAACUCUGUUAUUAGGGAAGAACAUAUGUGUAAGUAACUGUGCACAUCUUGACGGUACCUAAUCAGAAAGCCACGGCUAACUACGUG